rnacentral:rRNA from 1 species
CCGGACCGGCGCACGGGUGAGUAACACGUAUGCAACCUGCCCUCUUCAGGGGGACGAACCUUCCGAAAGGGAGGCUAAUCCCGCGUAUAUCGGUUUCGGGCAUCCGAGAUCGAGGAAAGAUUCAUCGGAAGAGGAUGGGCAUGCGGCGCAUUAGCUAGAUGGCGGGGUAACGGCCCACCGUGGCGACGAUGCGUAGGGGUUCUGAGAGGAAGGUCCCCCACACUGGUACUGAGACACGGACCAGACUCCUACGGAAGGCAGCAG